AGUUUGAUCCUGGCUCAGGACGAACGCUGGCGGCGUGCCUAACACAUGCAAGUCGAGCGUGAACCCUUGGAAUGAAACUUCGGUCGAAUGAAGAGGGGGAAAGCGGCGGACGGGUGAGUAACGCGUAGGUAACCUGCCCCAUACAGAGGGAUAGCCUCGGGAAACCGGGAUUAAGACCUCAUAACACCGUUUCUUCGCAUGAAGGGAUGGUCAAAGAUUUAUCGGUAUGGGAUGGGCCUGCGUCUGAUUAGCUGGUUGGUGAGGUAACGGCUCACCAAGGCGACGAUCAGUAGCCGACCUGAGAGGGUAAUCGGCCACAUUGGAACUGAGACACGGUCCAAACUCCUACGGGAGGCAGCAGUGGGGAAUAUUGCACAAUGGGCGAAAGCCUGAUGCAGCAACGCCGCGUGAGCGAAGAAGGCCUUUGGGUCGUAAAGCUCUGUCGGGAAGGAAGAUAAUGACGGUACUUCCCGAGGAAGCCCCGGCUAACUACGUGCCAGCAGCCGCGGUAAUACGUAGGGGGCGAGCGUUAUCCGGAAUUACUGGGCGUAAAGAGUGCGUAGGUGGUUGCUUAAGCGUGGGGUGAAAGGCAAUGGCUUAACCAUUGUGAGCCUCGCGAACUGGGCGACUUGAGUGCAGGAGAGGAAAGCGGAAUUCCUAGUGUAGCGGUGAAAUGCGUAGAUAUUAGGAGGAACACCAGUGGCGAAGGCGGCUUUCUGGACUGUAACUGACACUGAGGCACGAAAGCGUGGGGAGCAAACAGGAUUAGAUACCCUGGUAGUCCACGCCGUAAACG
rnacentral:rRNA from 1 species